rnacentral:rRNA from 1 species
UCAAUAAGCGGAGGAAAAGAAACUAACAAGGAUUCCCCUAGUAACGGCGAGUGAAGCGGGAAGAGCUCAAAUUUGUAAUCUGGCGGUCCUAGGCCGUCCGAGUUGUAGUCUAGAGAAGUGUUAUCUGUGCCGGACCGUGUACAAGUCCCUUGGAACAGGGCGUCGUAGAGGGUGAGAAUCCCGUCUCUGACACGGACCGCCGGUGCUAUGUGAUGCGCUCUCAAAGAGUCGAGUUGUUUGGGAAUGCAGCUCAAAAUGGGUGGUAAAUUCCAUCUAAAGCUAAAUAUUGGCGAAAGACCGAUAGCGAACAAGUACCGUGAGGGAAAGAUGAAAAGCACUUUGGAAAGAGAGUUAAACAGUACGUGAAAUUGUUGAAAGGGAAACGCUUGAAGUCAGUCGCGUCCGACGAGACUCAGCCGGGUUCAGACCCGGUGCACUUCUCGACGUGACGGGCCAGCAUCGAUUUCCGUCGUCGGAGAAAGGCCAUGGGAAUGUGGCACCCUUUGGGUGUGUUAUAGCCCUCGGUCGUAUGCGACGGUGGGGAUCGAGGAUCGCAGCGUGCCUCUCUGUAAAGGGCCGGGGUUCGCCACGUUAACGCGCCUAGGAUGCUGGCGU